GAUGUUGUAGAUAUUAACACGUUUAUCUAUGGACUUCUUGAAAUGUAGAGAAUUUUGACAUAGGACAAAAUUGUACAUCAUCAUAUUUGAAAUACAAAAUAUCUGCUCUAUCUACAUGAGCAUUGAUCUGCCAUAGGCCACCCAUUUUGCCUUGUUAUUUCUUUCUCGGAUCAUGGGACCCGAGUGGUGGAAGCUCCUUGUUGCCUUCGAGGUUUUGCCCACCAUCCCUUAUGCAUCGGCCGCUGUUUGAUGGGAGAAGAUGACUAGAGGCAGCGAAAGGAGGGAGAGGGAGGCGCUGAACAAUGUGGCAUAGGUUGAUGGUGAGGACAAUGAAGAGAAAGCGAGCAAUGUGAAGAGGAGGGUGACGAGGGGAGAAAACGAGAAGCUCCAUGUCAUUGCUCUCAAGAUGUGCUUGUCUAUGAAUUUCCGAGCUAUGUAUUAAAUUUGACAUGCAAUUCCACUAUGACUGAAAUAUGCAGGUAUUUGGUUAUUGUAAAUUUUAGUUGUGUUGUACAUAUCUUUAUUUUAGUAGUUCUGAUUAAGCUAUAUUAUUAGCGCCCCAUAAUCUUUAUCUACCUGCGUAUCUGUUAGAAUUGAAAUUGAUUUAUAAAAUAUCACAUCUCCAAUGUAAGUUAUUCAUAAUAUGGAAUUCCAUUGUUUAGAAUUUGAACCUUGUGUUCACAAAUAAAAUAUUGCGUAGAAUCAACUAAAUUUUGACCAAUAUUUUCCACAUAGCAGAAGCCACUUUGAGCUCCUCACCGUUUCAAGCUUUGAGCUCUUCUUCCUUUUGAUUUAUGUAAGAUACUUUGGAUCUUUGAUAUUCUGAACAUAAUAAUAUAUGGCUGUGUACGCAGAGGUUAAGCACACCUUUCCAAGAAAAAAAAACUUUCAGCUUAUUGGCGGGCCAAAAUAUACUCCCUCCAUCUGGAAAUACUUGUCGGAUACUUUGGAUCCGAGAAGUAUUUCCGAACGGAGGGAGUAGCUAUGUCGUGUGCAUGCCUUUGUAAAACGUUGGUACUUCAAAUUUUAGUCUUGUGUUUACACUAUUUAAUUUUCAAAGAUCUAUUUAAAAUUUAAUGAGUGUCGUUCAGGUGUCAACGAGAAACUUUUAUCUUGUUGGCAUAUUAAUUCAUGCAAGUGGAUCAAAUAUACGUGUACAGAUGGAAUUCAUUAACAAAAUGAGUUUUUAUUAUUUAUGCCACUAGUUGUGUCCCACUGCUCAGUUUUAUUAUUAGGAUUUUUAAAUUGCUAAAAAAUGUCAUCGGUCCGUUAGGCGCUUGCUAAAAAAUGCCACUAAACACCAUUACUGUUAGCUCAAAGUCCGUUUACCAUGUUAUAAUGAUCAAAAUACCCAUAGACCAACAUGUCAGCUAUUCCUCUAUCUCAGUACGAUAAAGUGUGGGUCUCACUUGAUCCCAACAAUGUUCUUAUUUUCCUCUAGAAUUAUCCGCUUGCUUACUCCUGACAAGUGGGGCUCACACUUGUCAUUGUGAGAUAGAGAAAGCUGGCAUGUGAGUCUAGGGGUAUUUUGGUCAUAUAAUCUGGUCAACGGGUUUGACCUGAAAAUAACGGUGGCUAAUGGCAUUUUUGAGGAAAUAUCUAAUGCAACGAAGGCAUUUUUUAGAUAUCAAAUGGCAUUUUUGAGCAAGCAUCUUACGGAAUGAUAACAUUUUUGCGCAGUUGUAACUUUUGAGGCAAAACUAAGUAGUGAGAUGCAACUAGUGGCAUAAGUGAUAAAACCCCACUGAGUAUGCUGUAAAAAAUUUCAACAGUGGCUAAUCCAGUUCAUGAGUUGUGUGCUGCAAAAAAUUGCAUGUGGAGAAUAAUUUAGAAGUCCAGAGUACUAGACCACUGUUAUGACCGGCAUAUUAGAGGCUUAGCCCAAUGAGUUGUGGCCCAAGUUAUCUUAUCACUAUUAGGGGCUUAGCCCAAUUAUCUUAUCGUUAUUAGGAUCGUUUUCUUAGAAGUCAAGUAAACCUCUCUAUAUAAGGAGAGGAGAUGUAUCAAUCUAAUCAAGCAAGAAGCAAUCAUUAUUUGAUCGGCUUCCCAAAGGGAGCCGGGAGACCUAACCCUAGCCACCUCUUGCGCCGCCUCUUCUUCAUCGCGCCACGGCGCCCCGCCGCCGGCAGCCGCGAUCGCAUCUCCGUCAACCCUCCCCCUUCCCGUACAACCUACGUCCUAGACCAGGUAGGAUCCUAGCUCCUACCAAUUUGGUAUCAGGUAGCUCGGUUCCGAUCAUGUCUGCACCACCACCCAAUCGGCCGUUGCCCGUCACCACCGCGCCGCUGCCCAUCACCACCGCGCCGCUGGCUCUCCCCACCGCGCCGCUGGACUCCACUGCCGGUGCCUCCACCGGCCAGACGCCGCCGCCCUCCACCGCGCCGCCCGUCGCCAUCUACUCGCCGGCGGAGAUGAACGGGAUUCUCAACGACCUCAUCACCGCCGUCCAGGGCAUACGCCUCUACCUGGCUGGGCCCUACGGGCAGUUACCGCCCUUGCAGCCGAUCGCCGCGACCGGGCCAACCACCCUGCCCUGGUACGCGGCCACCACAGCGCCGAUCGGGCCUCUACACCACCACUGGCCCGGUCAGCCGCCGCCCGCCGUCGCCCCCCACUGGCCGCAGUGGCCGGCUUCACUGAUCGCCGCGCCCUCGACGCCUCCUGGGUCCGGGCAGCCGCAGCUGUCGGCCCCGCCGCUGCCCGCUGCCGCGCCUCAAUGGCCACAGUGGCUGGCCCCGGCACUCGCUGCGCCCCCCAGGCCACCCGGGUCCGUACCGCCAUAGCUGCCGGUCCCGCCCCCGCCCAACACGGGGCCCGGGUCACCCACGUAGGGAGGCGUACCGAUCCAGCAAGUGCGCUUCCCGCCGUCACCGUCCUCCAUACCGGCCUGGCUAACCGGAUCAUCGCCGCCACCCGUCUACACGUCGGCUGGAGACACGCCGACACCCACUCUGCAGUUCGGCGAUCCCUCUGGCUCGGCGAGGCACUCCACGGACCGCGACCAUGCUGACCGGGUGCCCCAAUCCUCGCUGCUUCGCACCUCCGAGCCAGUCGGCCACGUCGCUCCGACUCAGAUACCGCUGCGGUUUGCCAAACUGGACUUCGCCACUUAUGACGGCACGGAGGAUCCCCUCAACUGGCUCAACCAGUGCGAGCAGUUCUUUCGUGGGCAGCGCACCCUCGCCUCGGAGCGUACCUGGCUUGCCUCUUACCACCUCCGCGGGACGACACAGACCUGGUACUACGCCCUCGAGCAGGACGAGGGCAGCAUGCCCCCUUGGGAGCGCUUCCGCGAGCUCUGCCUCCUUCGUUUUGGGCCACCGAUCCGCGGGAGCCGCCUGGCAGAGCUAGGCCGCCUUCCCUUUACCUCCACGGUUCAGGACUUCGCCGACCGUUUCCAGGCCCUGGCAUGCCACGCGUCGGGCGUAACGGCGCAGCAGCGGGCCGACCUCUUCGUCGGUGGACUUCCGGACCACAUCCGUGUGGACGUGGAGCUUCGUGGACCCUAGGAUCUCCAGACGGCCAUGUACUACGCCCGCGCGUUCGAGCGCCCACUACUAGGGAAAAGCCUAGCAGCAGCGCGGGCUUUAGGCCUAUCAGUAGCGCAGGGCGAUGCGCUACUGAUAAGGCGCUACAGCUAACGUAUAGCAGUAGCGUGCCUCCGCCCACGCUACUGCUAAAUCGACUUAGUAGUAGCGACUUCCCGGAGGGGCGCUACUGGUAAUUAGUAGUAGCGCUUCUCCCUGCCCGCGCUGCUACUACUAUUUCGUAUUUUAUUUCAUGUUGUAUUCGUACACCUUUACACAAGUUUUCAUACAACAGGAAUUUAGAAAUUGUUUUUACAUCAUAAUGAGUUAUUACAUCACGGGUGAAAGAACCGUGGACUAGUUUCAAGUGGAUGGACAUCCACUUAAAACUAAUCCGCGGUUCUUUCACCCAAUGAUAUAAUAAAUAUCAUCAUCAUCAUCAUAUCAUUAAUGACUUAUCAUCAUAAUACAUCAUUGUCAUAUAACACCUCCUCAAGAUCAUCAUUUUCAUCAAUGAGACAUCACAUAGCAAAUUGGUCACUAGUCGUAAUCACAAGUACUCCUCAUCAUCAACUCGAACACAUUGUAUCACAUAAUAAACAUAUUGUACCUCAUAGGACCUACUACAUUCUCUUAGGACCUACUAUAUUCUCUAAGGUAAAAUAGCAAAAAACAAGAUAGCUCCUGACUCUCCAUUAUGGAGAAUGGAGAUUAUCCUGUCUCCAAUUCUUGCCUUUCGCUUAAUGUUACUUCCAAGAACCUCCUUGCGAAUGUCCAAACAUUUUUUCCAUUCUUUGAUUAGCAUGUGUUCACCAGUUUUAGAAAUCCGAUAUGCACAGGUGAGCUCCUUAGAUUGACCUGGCUGUAUGUUCAUAACUGCAAGGCGACCAUUCUGAUACAUCAGAUGAGGCACACAAUCCAUCGGGAUUUCGUGUUGAAAAACAUAGUAAUAACUUUGUAGUUAGCAAUGAUGUACUAGUUUUAGAAGUAUGCAAAAGAUGCAGGAUGUCGUAAUAGUAAAAAAUCUUACCAGGGUAUCUCCAUAGAAGUUACCAUGGUUCAACACUUGCACUAGUGGCACGUAUUCACCAUAAUUUGGAGGAGUUCAAUAAUAGGUAUUGUAAUUAUCAAGAAAAGUACAAUAAGCAAUCAGAUGACUUUUCUCCUUAUAAGUUAAUUUGGAGCCAUCAUUGUAGUGGGUUUUGUCUACCAUCUUCUGCACAUUCUUUGAAUAUUCAAAAUAAGCUGUCAAUGGAAAUAAGCUGUCAACUAUUUUGAAAUAAAUAAUAUAAAUUAGUUAAUAACUAUGUUUGAGAAACUCACAUUGCGGUAGAAUCGGAAGCGUAUCAACAAGGACCCAAAUGUCCAUAUUGUCUUGCUCGAUGUCAGGAUUACCAAGAUCCAUGGUGACAAUCAUACCCUCAUAAAAACCAUACAUUUUGCAAAGUGCUUCCCAAUUUUGGCAACCAAAAUGGGUUACGCUCUGAGAAUUGUACAGAUUUACUUCAAAAUCGAUAUCAUGAUGGGUCCUUAGGUGUAUUUUCUUUGUUUCAAAAUUUUCAUGGUCUUCAAAACCCAUCCUCUUCAAGACAUAGCGUCUUGCAUGGCAUGGGAUAAGCUAGUCUAAUUGUAAAAGAUGAAAAUUAGACGUUGAAAUAGUUGAAGUCAUGCUUAAUUAUGAAAAAAACACUUGUCGUUGUUGCGUACCGUUUCAACAUCGAAGGUCUCCUCGAGCUUAAUGCUGAAGCGCUGAUCUUCAUUCAGCUCAACGAACCUGUCGCACAUACCUCGAUCGUUGUGGCACCAGCUGCACUCCCCCGGGAGAUUGUCAUCGUCCGAGUACGACAUUUCCUACGUUCAUAAUUCAAAGAUUAAACUUGUACAAUUAAAUAUAUGUACUAAAAAACCUAAAUUAGAUCAUUAUUUUUCGAGAAAAUCCAGGCCACUCGAUAUUUCCUACAUAUUCUAGCACAAGUCAUGCCAGAAUUCACGGAAAAAUCCGGCAUGAACUUUGCUAAAAAAGGACAUAUCGAGCGCCUGAAAUUUGCCGGAACAGAAAUUAAUCAACACUCCGGCAAAACAUAGGCCACUCGGAGGUGUAACCAAAACAUGAUCGGGCACUUCGGCAAAACACGCGCCUGAAACUCGAGCGCCUGAAGUUUUUAUCUACAUCAUAUAUAUCUUAUAGGACUCAUAUUGACAUGAAGAUUUGCCUGGUCUCACCUCGAAGUCGGAGGGGGUCGGUGAUGGGGACGACGGCGGGGAUGAUAGAGGGGCUCCUUGAUUUCUGCAAAAGCAAAAACCCUAUAAGUUAUCACCAAUACAUCCCGAAUAAUUACUUAAACUAAAAAAUAUCAACAAAUAUGACAUGUUCAACUAGUUCUAUUAAUUCAACUAGUUCUAUUAAUUCAACUAGUUCUUACUAAAUAUAAACUUACUAUAAAUAGAAAAAAACUAGUUCUUUCUAAAAAUAAAGUAGUUCAACUAGUUAUUUUAAUUUUCUUACUAAAAAUACAUUAGUUCUAUUAAUUCAACUAGUUUAUUAAUUUACUUACUAAACUAGUUCAACUAAAACUAAACUAGUUCAACUAAAACUAAACUAGUUCUAUUAAUUCAACUCGUUCUUACUAAAUAUAAACUUACUAUAAAUAGAAAGAAACUAGUACAUCUACUACUACUAAUUAACAUCUACUACUACAUCUACUACUAAUUAACAUCUACUACUACUAAUUAUAUAACUAGUUUACCAUCACUACUACUAAUUAAUAUCUACUACUACUAAAAACCAUUAUCUAUGAACCCUAAAUUAACAUNNNNNNNNNNCGGGAGACUGUCGUCGUCCGAGUACGACAUUUCCUACGUUCAUAAUUCAAAGAUUAAACUUGUACAAUUAAAUAUAUGUACUAAAAAACCUAAAUUAGAUCAUUAUUUUUCAAAGAAAAUCCAGGCCACUCGAUAUUUCCCACAUAUUCUAGCACAAGUCAUGCCAGAAUUCACGGAAAAAUCCGGCAUGACCUUUGCUAAAAAAGGACAUAUCGAGCGCCUGAAAUUUGCCGGAACGGAAAUUAAUCAACACUCCGGCAAAACAUAGGCCACUCGGAGGUGUAACCAAAACAUGAAAUAAUUGCUUAAACUAAAAAAUAACACCAAAUAUGGCAUGUUCAACUAGUUCUAUUAAUUCAACUAGUUCUAUUAAUUCAACUAGUUCUUACUAAAUAUAAACUUAGUAUAAAAAUAAAAAAACUAGUUCUUUCUAAAAAUGAAGUAGUUCAACUAGUUAUUAAUUUACUUACUAUACUAGUUCAACUAAAACUUAACUAGUUCAACUAAAACUAAACUAGUUCUAUUAAUUCAACUAGUUCUUACUAAAUAUAAACUUACUAUAAAUAGAAAGAAACUAGCACCUCUACUACUACUAAUUAACAUCUAACUACUACAUCUACUACUAAUUAACAAGUACUGCUGCUAAUUAUACAACUAGUUUACCAUCACUACUAGUAAUUAAUAUCCACUACUUCUAAAAACCAUUAUCUAUGAACCCUAAAUUAACAUCUACUACUACUAAAAUCAUCUACUAACUAAGCAAAGAGAGAGNNNNNNNNNNNNNNNNCGGCGGUGAGGUCGAGGGCGGCGGCAGUGAGGUCGAGGGCGGCAACAGUGUGGUCGAGAGCGGCGGCGGUGAGGUUGAGGGCGGGCUCGGGCGGCGGCGGUGAGGGCAGGCUCAGGCUCGGGCGGCGGCGACAUGAGUAGGGGAACAGGGGAGGGGGAAGGAGGACUUUGCGAAAUUUUGAGUCGGAGGGUGGUUAAGUCGAACUAGCAGUAGCGCUCAUAAGGAAAACGCGCUAUAGCUAACUUAUCUAUAGCGCGUUUUAGAGAAAAACGCUACUGCUAAUGGAAGCAGUUAUUUCUUUUGUUUAUCCCAAUAUCAGUAACGCUUUGUCCUGAAAAAACGCUAUACGUCUAAGCAAUGUAAAAACAUCAAAAAUAUACAUUGGUCAUCAUUGAUCUUUUUGUGUAGAAUCUAAAUAGUCAACAUGAAUCCUCACUGUACCUGUAUAGGUACAGGCGAGGAUUCAUAUUGCAGCCAUAAAUCAUACACAUAUAGUUCAAUGAAGACCAAGUGCUCGAGAUAGGUUGAGAAGUAACAUAUUUAAGGUGGUAAAUACCUUGUUCGCUUAGCAGUAUGGGACUAAACUUAAUUAGUUGCGGUGAUACUUAGCAGCAGCGAGUUUUGAAGAAAAAACGCUGCUACUAAGUACUUUAGCAGUAGCGCGUCCCUCGGAAGGGCGCUACUACUAUAUCUAGCCUAGAGGCAACACCGUGGCAAUUAUAGUAGUAGCGCUCGUUUCACCUAGAGCGCUACUGCUACUUAGAUAUUAGUAGCGCUGUUUGCUGAAGCUCGCUACUGCUAAUUAGCAGUAGCGUCUGUUUUUAAACCAUGCUUCUGCUAAGAUUCUGUGUAUAAGGUUUUCCCUAGUAGUGGCCACGCGGUGGCCAUCCAGCAGGAAUCACCGUUCCGGGCCGCCGGGUCGCUACCCUGGCCGGAUGUUCCCGCGUAGGCUCGGCCUGCUCAGGCUUCCAUGGCACCCUUCGCCGCGACCGCGGCGCGCCCGUUCCGCCGGCUCACCUCGGCCGAGCUACUCGAGCGGCACCGUCAAGGGUUGUGCUUCAACUGCGACGAGCCCUACACGCCUGGCCACAUCUGCUCACGACUCUUCUACCUGGAGGCUUCAGACUACAUUCUGGUGGACGCCGUCGCCGCCGACCUCGCCGCCCCAGCUGUCGCCAAGGUGUUUGACACUGGUUGAUCACCUCGGGGAGUUCAGCAAGCGCUUCCCCACCUUACAACUCGAGGACGAGCUGUUUGUACAGACGGGAGAAGUGUUAUGACCGGCAUAUUAGGGGCUUAGCCCAGUGAGUUGUGACCCAAGUUAUCUUAUCAUUAUUAGGGGCUUAGCCCAAUUAUCUUAUCGUUAUUAGGAUCGUUUGCUUAGGAGUCAAGUAAACCUCUCUAUAUAAGGAGAUGAGAUGUAUCAAUCUAAUCAAGUAAGAAGCAAUCAUUAUUUGCUCGUCUUCCCAAAGGGAGCCGGGAGAUCUAACCCUAGCCGCCUCUUGCGCCGCCGCCGCCUCUUCUUCAUCGCGCCACGGCGCCCCGCCGCCGGCAGCCGCGAUCGCAUCUCCGUCAACCCUCCCCUUCCCGUACAACCUACGCCUUAGACCAGGUAGGAUCCUAGCUCCUACCAACCACCAACCUCUUAACCUCUACUUGUGUGCACAAUGUUUUCCUAUAUAUACCACAGAAACCUUCACUUACUGAACAAGGAUAACUUCUGAUAUGUACCACUUCGUGUUCAAUAGACUAGCUUGCCUUCUAUAUUUUAAUGUGUUGGAAGCAUCAACUAAUUUAUUUCAUUAAAUAGGUAAAGGGAGUGUUAGAGAAGAGUGGAAAACAUAUGAGAAAACCUAGGAAUAUGAGACAUCAGGAGCAGUGGCUGAACUAGCUGACUUGGGACCAGACCAAGCUAAAUGGAACCUCUGUGUCAUCCGUGAUCGUAUUGCUGAUGCUAGAUAGACUGAUGGUUCCAGUUAUCCUGUCCCUAACAAAGUCCGUUUCUUAGGAUGCCUGCUGCACUUUGAUGGGGUAAGCAUUGAAGCAGACCUCUACUACAAAGGAGUACAAACUGUGGUGGUACCUAUACAAACUAUGGUGGUACCACCAUAUAUAGAAGCAAAGCGAGAAACGAUCGUCAUAUGCUACAAUAGUUUAACCGUGAGAAGCAUGGAUGGUUUCAUUGUUUUCUUGGUGCCAGGCUAUCAACAGUAUUGAACAAUCUGUUUUUUCUUUUCUUGUUUGUGAAGCCAAUGUUCCCAUUAGUAUAUUAUACGAAAGAAGUACUCACCUAAUCUUGUCUUAAGUAAAACCUGUUUAAGUUUAUAUGGUAAAAAUAUAGACAUCUAUAAUAUUUAUUCAUGUGCCUAGUAUUAAUCCAUUGAUUCUCUGGAUUGAUAGGCCCAUUUUGAGGUGUAAGGCAUUUCAAGAUGUUCAUGCAGUCCUGUGUCGUUUAUCACACUUUGCAGCAAAAAUGGUGGGAUGCUAUUACGAGCAUGUACAGUGCUGAGAAGUGCAAAAAAUGAUAGAAAGUUGUAAAACUAUGUUGCACCUGUGUCCAUAGAAACUAAUGAUGCAUUUUUCUGAGUGCAAGAUACAUUAAUUGGUGAAUUUGAAUAUGUUGAUGAUCACAUGUCUGGUAUGACAGUUUUGAAGCUGAAUGGAAGAUUGAACAAGUGUGGUGUCAUCAGUCCACGCUUGGACCUUGGAGAUCGAGUCCUGGACUGCAAUGCUGGUCCCCUCACCUCAGCUGGUUAGUCUGUAGAAAACAAGCCUGUAACCUAUGUGUUGUCAAACUUUCAGGAGUGUCUCCUGAGGGCUUGAUUUUGGACGGAUCAUUCUUACCACAUCUGCUGGUAUCAUGGAUCAUGAGGAAGCAAGAAUGUGCGAGAAAAGGUUCAGGGUUUUUUCUACUUUUUUCAGAAAGGUUUUUUCUACUAGGAGAAAGAAAGAUUUGAGCUGGUCUGGUUCAUGUCCUUGUGAUAUCUAGCCUGGCCUGGAGCGUGCAUGGAAAAUCCUUGAAGUCGUUUGGUUGCUGUCCUCACAAAGCCUGGGGUGGCCUGGCCUGAAAUAGCAUCGAAGUGAUGGGCCUGGUUAGAGAAGCCAGGGAUGUGUUUAGCCUGGUCUAGGCCUAAGGAGUCGAAUGCCUGGAGGCUGCCUGGGUCGUAAAUACAGAAACUGCACUUCCUAAUAACUCUCCCAGCCACGGCAGGCACCAAACAAAUUUUAGACUAGGCUGCCUGACGAGGCAAUAAUUUUCCAAGGUUCAACUCUACACUAGGCAGCAGUUGCGCCCAGGCACGAAGCCGUGAACACAAACGAAACUAGCCAUUUCUGCUAUUUGCCCACUUUUUCUUCAGUUUGAGUAAGUUAGUUCAUUCUUCAGUUUGCAAGCUGCAAUCAUUUUUUUUCCAGUCAGCCUUUCAUUUUUUAUUAAUAUUUCAUCAGCCUUUGUUCCCCCGUCCGCAAAAUUGCACAACUCUUGCACUUAUCUUCUAGCAUUUUCUUACAGCCGAGAUUGAGUAUGCAUGUUCAAUUCUUGAGUUAGUUUUCAUUCUAGGAAUUCUAGUUUUUAUUCGUUCUUGUUUCCAAAUUUAAUUCUGCAAACACUGCCUUAAUUCUUUGAACACUCUCUGAUGCCCUUCUCUAACUCUAUCUCCACAAUGGCACACUUUAUUACCAAUCUAGCAUAAUAAGUAAACAUCAACAAAGAUGGUUUUGUGGUAGUGGUAGCUACUUUUUUUAGAUCCAUGUGCCAUUCUUUCAGUCAUUUGUUUAAUGGCUAGCUGAUAUGUGGUAUGUUGUGAAAACUGUGCACCACGUAUAUGCAAAAUAGUUAUAAAGUGAAGACUACUGCACCACCAACAUCUAAAUGUGUGCACAAUGCUUUUCUUACAUAUAUACCACACCAACCUUCACUCAAGGGGAAAAGGUUCUGUCAUGAUAUAUACCAAUACGUCUGCAACAGAAUAGCUCCGCUGUCCCAUGCCAUUUUAGCGAGUUGGUUGCACUAACUUACUGCAUCUAAAAGGUGGUAGGCACAUAAAUAGAUCCGAGGAGUAGUGUUGGUAGAACUAACUUACGGCAUCAAAUAGGUGGUAGUAUUAUAAACAGAUCAAAGGGAGGGCCUUGGUAAGAUUAACUUACUGCACCAAAUAGGUGGUAGUAAAAAUAAAUGGAUAAAAGAGAGCGUGAGAGAAAGAUGCAAGAAUAGAUGGGAAUAGGAGACAUCAGAAACAUUUGCACGUUCUGGGUGACUUAGGACCAGAGUGACCAGGUUGAUCUUGAUCAGUGCAAGGUGUAGAAGCUUCCUUUCUGUUGAUCGACCUUUUAUUAGGGUUCAUCUGGCGGGGUCUUUGGGUACCUUUACUUCAGCGUGAUUCACCUGUGUGGUAGAAUCAUUUUGAGAGGCCACUCCUGAAAUGUUUGAUGUUGUAGAUAUUAACACAUUUUUCUAUGGACUUCCUGAAAUGUAGAGAAUUUUUACAUGGAACAAAAUUGUGCAUCAUCAUAUUUGAAAUGCAAAUUAUAUGCUCUAUACCUCUAUCUACAUGAGCAUUGAUCCGCCAUAAAAUAUUCCACAAAAUUUGCCUUGUUGUUCUUUCCCAGAUCAUGGGACCCGAGUGGUGGAAGCUCCUUGUCACCUUGGAGGUUUUGCCCACCAUCCCUUAUGCAUCGUCCGCUGUUUGAUGGGUGAAGAUGACUAGAGGGCAGGGAAAGGAGGAGGGAGAGGGAGCUGCUGAACAACGCGACAUAGGUUGAUGGUGAGGACUAUGAAGAUAAAGGGAGCAAUGUGAAGAGGAGGGUGAUGAAGUGACAAAAUGAGAAGCUCGAUGUCAUUGCUCUCAAGAUGUGCUUGUCUAAGAAUUUGAGCUAUAUUUUAAAUUUGACAUGCAAUUCUACUAUGACAGAUAUAUGCAGGUCUUUGGUUAUUGUAAAUUUUAGUUGUGUUUUACAUAUCUUUAUUGUACUAGUUCUGUUUAAGCUACAUUAUCAGUGCCCCAUAAUCUUUAUCUACUAUGUAUCUGUUAGAAUUGAAUUUGAUUUCUAAAAUAUUCCAUUUCCAAUAUUUAUAUUUGGAUGCCACAUGAAAAUGGAAGUUAUUCAUAAUAUAGAAUUCCAUUGUUUAGAAUUUGAACCUUGUGUUCACAAAUAAAAUAUUGCCU
rnacentral:lncRNA from 1 species